AUACGUAGGGAGCGAGCGUUGUCCGGAAUUACUGGGUGUAAAGGGAGCGUAGGCGGGAGGGCAAGUCAGAUGUGAAAUACAUGGGCUCAACCCAUGGGCUGCAUUUGAAACUGCAUUUCUUGAGUGAAGUAGAGGUAAGCGGAAUUCCUGGUGUAGCGGUGAAAUGCGUAGAUAUCAGGAGGAACACCGGUGGCGGAGGCGGCUUACUGGGCUUUUACUGACGCUGAGGCUCGAAAGCGUGGGGAGCAAACAGGAUUAGAUACCCUGGUAGUCCACGCUGUAAACGAUGAUUACUAGGUGUGGGGGGACUGACCCCUUCCGUGCCGCAGUUAACACAAUAAGUAAUCCACCUGGGGAGUACGGCCGCAAGGUUGAAACUCAAAUGAAUUGACGGGG
rnacentral:rRNA from 1 species